AGUCUGAAUUUCAAGAAGCAAUCAUGAUUUUUUUCAGUAUCACCAUGACUUUGCAUAGUCGCUGAAUGAAUGGAUGUAAGCCAAAACGUGGAAAGAAGCUGAGGCCAGUGACAGGAACUCAUCCCAUCACAUAAUCUGAGGACUCAAACUGCAGGAGCACAGACCUUUUUCAGCAUCUUUUAAGCCACUGAGCCACUGCAUCUCACAAUGCACAGGUCCUUGGAUUGGGAGGAGAUGUGGACUCCUCAUCUUUGCUAACUGUCAGAAGCUGCUCACGCUUCUAGCCCGGAGCCUCCACUCUAACCUGCUGCAGCUGCGGCUUCCUCAGUUCAGGCUCAACCUGCCGGCCAUCCAAUCAACCCAGCUGUGUCUACUCUGUUGGGCUGGAGCCCUCCACUCCCUGAUCCAAGUCUCAAUGCA